UACGUAGGGGGCAAGCGUUGUCCGGAUUUAUUGGGCGUAAAGAGCGUGUAGGCGGCUUUACAGGUCCGUUGUGAAAACUCGAGGCUCAACCUCGAGACGCCGGUGGAAACCGUAAGGCUAGAGUCCGGAAGAGGAGAGUGGAAUUCCGUGGUGUAGCGGUGAAAUGCGCAGAUAUCAGGAGGAACACCAAUUGCGAAGGCAGCUCGCUGGGACGUUACUGACGCUGAGACGCGAAAGCGUGGGGAGCAAACAGG
rnacentral:rRNA from 1 species